GCGGCGCGUCCACAGCCGUUAAACACCCAACUUCUGAAAUGUUGACCUCGGAUCAGGUAGGAAUACCCGCUGAACUUAAGCAUAUCAAUAAGCGGAGGA
rnacentral:rRNA from 1 species